rnacentral:rRNA from 1 species
UACGUAGGGCGCAAGCGUUGUCCGGAAUUAUUGGGCGUAAAGAGCUCGUAGGCGGUUUGUCGCGUCUGCUGUGAAAACCUAAGGCUCAACCUUGGGCUUGCAGUGGGUACGGGCAGACUAGAGUGCGGUAGGGGUGACUGGAAUUCCUGGUGUAGCGGUGGAAUGCGCAGAUAUCAGGAGGAACACCGGUGGCGAAGGCGGGUCUCUGGGCCGAUAUUGACGCUGGAGGAGCGAAAGCGUGGGGAGCGAACAGG